UCCCUGGAGGACUAGUGGUUAGGCCUUGGCGCUCUCAUCACCGCAGCCCAGGUUCGAUUCCCGGCAAGGGCA
rnacentral:tRNA from 1 species